UACGUAGGCAGCGAGCGUUGUUCGGAGUUACUGGGCGUAAAGGGUGUGUAGGCGGUUGUUUAAGUUUGGUGUGAAAUCUCCCGGCUCAACUGGGAGGGUGCGCCGAAUACUGAAUGACUAGAGUGCGGGAGAGGUGAGUGGAAUUCCUGGUGUAGCGGUGAAAUGCGUAGAUAUCAGGAGGAACACCGGUGGUGUAGACGGCUCACUGGACCGUAACUGACGCUGAGACACGAAAAGCGUGGGGUAGCAAAACAGG
rnacentral:rRNA from 1 species